CAUCGCAAAGGCUCGAACCCGAGAAAGUUAAAAUUUUAUACGAGGAGUUAGAAAAAAACAUACUGACAGAAUUCCCUUUUAUAAAAAAGUUGCCACCUUGCUUGCAUAAGUACAAACACUUAUCGGAGUACAUCACCAAAUUGCCUUACACUAUGAAUUUUGUUGAUGAGCAGGCAGGUGAACGCAUGCACAAACGGCAUAAAUUUUCGAGGCCUAACCUAGCCCGAAAAACAACUCCGGAAGAUAACAUGUACGAUAUAAUGGUUGCAGCUUUGGCGUGGUCUGACAUCAAAAUAUCGUACACUACGUUUAAAAAA